UCCGGUGCAGAGAUGGCGUUUGUGAAGAGUGGAUGGUUGCUGCGACAGAGUACUAUUUUGAAACGCUGGAAGAAGAAUUGGUUUGAUCUGUGGUCGGAUGGUCGCCUGAUCUAUUAUGAUGACCAGCCCCGUCAGAGGAUCGAGGACAAGGUCCACAUGCCAGUGGACUGCAUCAACAUCCGCACGGGGCACGAACGUCGGGGUACUCAGCCCCCAGAAGGGAAGUCUAAAGACUGUAUGCUGCAGAUUGUUUGCCGAGAUGGGAAAACUGUCAGUCUUUGUGCAGAAAGUACAGAUGAUUGUUUGGCGUGGAAAUUUACACUCCAGGAUUCCAGGACCAACCCAGCCUAUGUGGGCUCAGUGGUCAGGACUGAUAAGACAGCUGUGGUUUCUUCCUCCUCCGUACAUGGCGUAUGCCACACCGACACCUGAGCAGGCAAACAGCUAUGGUCCAUACGGUGGUGCAUACCCACCAGGAACUCAAGUUGUCUAUGCUGCAAAUGGACAAGCCUAUGCUGUGCCCCACCAGUACCCAUAUGCAGGACUUUACGGACAGCAGCCUACCAACCAAGUCAUCAUCUGUGAGCCGUAUCCAGACAAGGACAGUGAUUUGGCACUGGGCAUGCUGGCUGGGGCAGCCACGGGCAUGGCCUUAGGCUCUCUCUUCUGCGUCUUCUAG